CCCAGUAUUUACACAGCCUUUAAUGCUCCUGAUGUCAGCGUGGAGAUGUGUUAAUAACCCAAUUAAAGUGCUCACCCAGCUAUGCCAAAUCCCAGCGCUCGGGGAAGGCCGGGCCGGCGCGUUCGGCCUUGCAAUGCCUGGGCCGCGUUGCAGCACGCCAAAGCCACGUCCCUGUGGCUGCCACGCAACCCCAGCUCAUCCCCACAGGGGUCUUGAGCAGGGUGGAGGCAGUGAAGAGCUAAAAUCUACAGCUGGAUGGGCACUGAACACCCCCAGCACUUCCUGAGCGUGUCAGGGGCACAGGGACACACGAGGCCCUGUGGGAGACGUGGCAGAAGGUGCUCAGCCCGUGGCCUUCAGAGCAUUCCUGAAGAACAGAAGGAACCUCCUAGAGAGACAGCCCUCGCUGUGAAAAACUCCACGUUCACAUCUCUCUGCCACAGCCCCAGGACUGCAGAACCCACACGGGACUGAGCAGCCACGACCUUGGGUUUGCAUCCCAGCCCUUUCCAGUGGACACAGAGCAAUCCAGGGAGAGCCUGAGCCUGGGAAAGCUCUGCACAGCCCAGCCCAGCUCUCUGGUGGUCGCCCUCUGGGCCACAGCAGAGCUGCUGCUCUUACCCUGGCUGGGGCAAAGGCAGCCAGGAUUUAUGGCUUUUGGAUUUUAUGGAUUUUAUGGGCUCCCAGUGCUGCUCCAAGCCCCCGAAUGAAUACACAGGAACCCCCAGCUCCCUGAUCCUGCCCAAUCUUAGGAAAUCAGAGGAGAUGGAUUUUCCCUCAGACAUCACAACUGCAGUAGAGUUUGGGAGGCAAAUACAGAGCCCCUGGCUCUGAGCCAAGGGAGUAAGCCUGGGAUAGGUUUUCUUUCAAGAAUUCCAACUCAUUCAUGUUACUUUCUUAAUGAUCCAAAGUCUUCAAGGAGUUGCCUUUCAGCUUCAGCUCCCUUUCAAUAUUUGUCAUGUGUGUCAGAGUUGAUUCUUCAUGUUUCCUCUGUAGUUUUAAUGUUCUCAAGGAGAAACUUCAUUCCUUAGACAUUUUAAAGAUAUUUUUUCCCCCCACUGGUUUCUUUUUUUUAAUGGAAGAAAAGAAGAUCCCUUGUAAAGCAAACAGGGGUGAGAGCAGAGGGAAGUGUGUCUCAUUUGGAGAUGCUAACAAAGAAAUCUUAACAAAUGACUGGAGAAGGCCAUGGAACCACUAAUUCUUCAUCUUAUUUGGAUGGACAAGCAAUAAUCUACAAGCAGUGACCACUUGUCCACCACUUCUGAGUCCUUGGAAACCCCGAGAGAAUGCUGGCCCUGCCGAGGAGCAGGACUGGGAACAGAAGCCUCCCUUCAUCCAGCUUUUUUCACAACCUGCCCCCACCUCUGGAAACCCAAGGAAAGGCCAAAAGGUCUCUGCUGAGCCACCAGGGUGGAGUAUGACGAGUCCUGUCUUGAUGAAAGACUUGACAAGAGCAAGGCAGAGAGAGCAAGGUUGGGAGGCCAACCCAGCAAAGCUCUGUAGGUGCCUGCCCAGGCAAAGCCUGAGUGUUGCAAAUUAAACACUCAGCAAAGCUUGGCUGAGCCCUGAGAGGCAGAACCCCCUCCAAACACCCACCCUGAGCUCCAAGGGAGUCACACCAGAAGGAGCUUCCACAGCCAAGAGAGACAGGAGAGCACCUGGAGUUUUGGGAUGUGGGAUGGGAUUUUUGUUUUCCCCGGCAACGGAAAUCGUGUAUGGCUGCACUGAGAAUUAGAUCAGGAGACUUCAAAGGGCUGAAUCACAUCUCAGUCUGCUCUGGGACUGGCUCUGCUCAGCCUCAAGCCUUAUCAGGCCAGUUUGGCUAGGUGAUUGCAUUUCACACUCUAAACACAAUUCUUUUCCUAAUUGUCUAUAAACUACGCCUACAGCUUUCUGCCACUUGCUUUUGCCAGCAGCUGACCUGUUGAUGCUCAAGCAAAGAAAAAUAUCUCUGAAAUUAGCUAAGAAAAUAAAACUGGGCAAUCAAAGGCUUCAAGACAGGCAGCAAAGCUGUGCAGAGCACCAGCUGGGUGCCCUGGUUCAAGCUUUAACUUGGUCUGCUACUAUUUACUCUCAUUAAAUCCAGAGUCGUCUGGCUUCAUUUGGUUUGCCAGAAAUUUGCUUUAGGAUAAUUUAGAUCAGAGUCACCAGGCUUUCCCCCACCACCACCUUUUUAGGACAGAGGAUAAUAAUAGAGGAUUUUUUUUUUUUUUCCAUGAAAGCAUAUGCAAUUUCCUCUCUAACCAUCCAAAACAAAUAAUCAGGAGAUUUCCCUGUGUUUACAAUGGGUCUUUCUACUGACCUUCCCUGCAAAGCACUUUAGGAGAAAUCAGUGAAAAAUACUCCAUGAGAAGUGGGUCACAAUUGCUGUUAUUGUUACUCAGAAAUUAUGUAGUGUCUGAUCUGAAACCAGACACAACAACUGAGGGCUUCUUUUUGCCCUUUUCAUAACAAACCAAUUCUAUUUAACAGUAAAUACAGUUAAAUGGGAAUAAAUCUGGUUUGUACAGAGAGACGUUGCAUGUUUAUUAAUAAUCUUUGUGUUUGGUGUUUAGAGCAGUUCCAAAUCUGAGCUGUAGCAAUGUAUAAUAACUUUUCUCUUGGCAUGGUUGAGUCACUGGGACUGACUUGGCUCUGCCACUCUUUUUGAACAACCAUAAUUACAUCAGUUUCAAGCUGGCUACAUGAGCCUCAAUUUGGAGCAAAGCAAAGAUGGACAAAAUUGAGAGUAAUUGUUUCAGAUGUCGUGGGCAAAGAGAUUUAUUCAGCCCCUGAUUUGAGGAAUUUGACAGAUUUCUUUACCUUUUACCUCAGUUUUGGGAGGAAAUGCUGGGGCUGCUUUUAAGUCACAUCACUGGGAUUUGGGAGUUCUUGCUGUGAAUCCUCAGCACAAGGAUGCCUCACCUGCACUGCCAAGAACAGGUUGUAAGGGAAAUAAAAGCAUCCUUUUGGGUGAGUGUAGAGAGGACAGUUUAGGCAAAGGUUGCAUUUGCUGGAGGUGAAAUUCCACCUCCCCUAAUUCCCCAAACCAUAGAUUUUAUCCAGCCCCUCCCCAUAGAACCAAAGGGUGAUUUCACCAAAGCUUGAGCCUCAAGUGUCUGGGAGCUCCAGCCCUCUGGUUUUGUGUCCUGGCAGAUCCUGGAGAUAAUUUUGAUGGCCAGCUCAGAGCAGAAACUGGGCUGCUGUGUGAUGAGUGUUGAUGGAGGUGAAUCUACACAAAGUGCCCUGCCCAGAUUUGUGUGAGUAAGGAUGGAAAGAGAACCCUGGGAACCAGAACCCUCCCCUCUGAGCUUUGGGGAUGUGAUUAUGAAAUGUUCCAAAUCAUCACCCAGGUCCUGCCAGGAGCUGUGGGUCCAUACUGCCCUCAGGACUCAGAUCCUGUCAUGGAAAUGAGGGAGUGUUUCUGCUGAGCUCAAAAACCACAGUUUGAGGCUCCUGUUCCCAUGGUGAGGCUGAUCCUCAGUGCCUGCUCCUUCAGGGGGGUCUCACUCCUGUGGAGCUGUUAAUGACACAAGGACCAAAAGGAGAGAGAGCACAGGAUCGUGGAAUGGUUGGGCUUGGAAGGGACCUUAAAAAUCAUCUUGUUCCACCCCUGCCAUGGGCAGGGACACCUUCCACUGUCCCAGAUGGCUCCAAGCCCCAUCCAGCCUGACCUUGGACACUUCCAGGGAUCCAGGGGCAGCCACCUGUGCCAGGACCUCCCAAAGAAGAAUUUCUUCCUAGUAUCCAAUCCAAGCCUCUUCUUUUCCAUUGUGAAGCCAUUCCCCCUUGUCCUGUCACUCCAGCUCCUGGUGAAGGAUCCCACUCCAGCUUCCUUGUAGCCUUUGCAGACUCUGGGAAGUGCUGUGAGAUCUCCACACAAUUUUCUCUUCUCCAAGCUGAGCAGUCCCAUCUUUCUCAGCCUGUCUUCAUAGAGGAGGUGCUUUUGUCCCCUUAUCAACUCCAUGGCCUCACCUGAACUUUUCCCAACAGCUCCAUGCUCGUGUAUUGGGGGCAGCAGAACAGGAUGCCAGGUGGGGUCUCACAGGAGCAGAGCAGAGGGGCAGAAUCCCCUCCCCUGGCCUGUUCUCAGGCUGGUUUUCAGGUAGGACAGGGAAGGGCAGCACUGGAGCUCUCCUCCAUUUAAUUUUCUGCAGGACUACCAUGACCACCCAAUCCAACCCUGCACAGCUCAGGCAGACAGAGAAAGGCACAACAAGAAGUGAGAGAAAGCAGAGAUGACAAACCCCGACUUUACCUGUUUUAUCAGUUUACCUUUAGGCAGGUGGAUGCUUUCUGGUGCCCAGUCCUCACUCCUGGCUGGGUUUCUGCUGUGCUGAGGAACGGGUGUAGCAGCAGCUGGGACACGUGGCAGGACAGCACCAGCUUCUGCAGGGGAUGAAGAGCUCCUUACACACUGUGAGAUCCCAAAUCCAUCACAUGGAGCCUAAUGAGGGGGCUGAGCCAGGCCAAAUACAACUGUUUAACAGUUUAUUUUAACCAUCCAAUGAGAGCAAAACAACUUAAAAGGAUUCAUGCUGCCAACAAUCUUUUCCCUUUUUUUUUUUUUUCCUCUUCUUCCCCUCCUUGCAUGGCAUUUGUUAGAAAUCAGGAUUUUUCUUAACUAAAUGUCUUGUGGUCUCCUUAGCUUUGUUUCUUAACAGGGUUGUCUUUAUGUUAGUUUUCUUUGGCUUCCCAAUAGAAGAGUAACAGAUUUCUUUUGAAGUUUUUAUUGAUGAAUGAGCUCCUAUAAAUAACUCUCUGUGGCAGCAGCUUGAUCUCAGAGUUUACUCUGGAAUAAUAGUAGCAAUGGGAAUGGAGGAAAUUUAUGGCAGCAUGACAUGAAAUAGUUUAAUGGGCUUCAUACUGUUUAACUUAAUCUUUACAGAUGUAAAAACAGAAAUACAAUUAUUGUAACAACUAUUAUUACAUAUUGCUCUUCUAAGGAAAACAGAAACUCAGUAAGCAACUGGAGAUAGGUAGUGAAGAAUUAGGGGGUCCAGCUCACCGUGGAUUUGGGAAUUCCUGGGUUGGGCCAGUGGAUUUGCAAAGGCUCAUCCGGAGAGCUCUGGGAAGGAUGGGUCUGCAGGUGGGAUUUGGCACUGCCACAGCAAGCUGAGGCACGGGAUGUAGGUGCUGGAAGCUGCUAGAGCCAGUGGAAGUGGCGGAGCUCUGACUUUGGAAGGAGAAGAAAUCUUACUCCUUAUUCCACCUGGGUGCUAGGGGAGGAGCUGAUCCCAAUCCCACCAGAGGCAGUGGGGGUACUUGGACACGUCCCUUGUGUCCUGUAGCCCCAUGAGGGGCACAGCUGGAAUCCUCCCACUUCUGGAGCAGAAACACUCCACUCACAGCAACCAAAGGAUGGGAAGAAUGGAGGGAGUUCAUCAAAAGUCACCUGGUAAAAGAGAAUUUAACUGUUUAUCACAUGUCUGCUCAUCAAGGGUUUGCUCAGGUCUCUCAGACAAUGUCACUUGUGGCAAAGGUGUCUCUUUAAGCCAUGGGAGCUUAGGAAAGUGAAAAUUUUCUGUCUAAAAAAAUGUAAAAAUUUUAAUAAGUUUCUUUAUAAAAAUUUUCUGUCUAAAUGUCCAACCCAGAGGCCAGCUGGCAUUUCACCCAGCCCAGCAUCCAGCUGGGGGAUGUUUGAGCCAAUGUGCAAGAGGUGGGUGUAAAACCCAGUAUCAGAAUUCCUAGGAAAGGUCACAAGGCCUAAUCCAAACCUGAGAUUUGGCUCGUGCCCAAGCCCAGCUCCAUUUGCUUCUCAAAGAGCUUGGGUAAAUAUUGAAACAUGUUGGUGCUCUGCGUAAUUUCUGUAAAAAAAAAAGCUGACAGCUUUUGUUUCCUCCUUGAGGGAGCAUUAUUUGAAACCAAACUGCAGUGAAAAUGAUCGGCAUUGUGCAUUUCCAACUGUCUGUUCAGUGGGAAAUUUGUAUCCUCCAAUCCACGGAAAUCGCCCGUGCGAGAAAGAGCUCGCAAAUUCUCCCUCGAUUUCCAAAAAUGUGGGAAAGUUUAUUUAUUUCUCCAUGCAUUCCUGAUUCGCAAUGUGCUCUCUAAAAAUGUCCCUAAGAUUUAGGCUAACCGAGCUCAUGCUAAAUUUAGCAACUAUAUUUUAAAUAAACAUUCUUUACGCUUUGCUGAGCCGGCUUUGAAGCUGCCUUAAAACAAAUGGUGUUCACAUGAACAUGGGCAAUGUUUGACUUUGGCCUAAGAGAACAUCUGAAUAAGUAAUAAUGUAUUAUUCGCUGUAAUCCGAAAAUGAGAUUUUAGAGGUCUCACUCAGUCAAUUUAGGAGAGAUUCCUGUGAGGGAUAGGCUGGAUUGUUUCUGGAAGAGCCCGUUCUGUUCUCUCUGACCACACAAAACUUCCUCUUGGUGUCUUGUUAGACACUGGAGCUGCGAGGCUCAGGGAAAUCAGCUGUGACUUAGCACGCACUGCAUUUGAGGAAUCUGGCCCAUUUUAAAGCACUUAAUGAUUUGUCUGGAUAAAGCACUAAAAAUAUACUGUGGGGAGCAAUUAUGCAACGUCCAGACUGAUGGAUUGCAUAACCUCAUAGACCUUUUCCAUCUGUAACUUCUCUCAUUCUGUGAUCUUGUCUUCUUGGUCUUUCACUUCAAAUCAAAUAUGUGAUCUGUUUAAUAUCCUGAAUGCUGUCUCCUGGGAGAUCUCUUCUCUGGGUGUGUGGGGCUAUGAAUCAAGUGAGGAAGCAGAUCCUUCUUCCCUUUUUUGCUCUGGGAUUUGGCUGCUCCUCACACCAGGCUUAGGAGCGGGCAGCAGGAAGCCAGUGGGUUUUGGUGUGGAAAGGGAUGGACCCUCCUUUAUGUGUUUUCUGUGGUAAAGAAUGGAAAGAGAAUUAAAUUUUAAAAUGGGGGAAGGAGAAGAGGCUACAAAGUCCCUCAGAUUUAUGGCACCUUGGAAUCAAGCAUGGACAGCCACACCUUGAGUGACAAACCCUGAAAGUGGCUUCUGGUCAGGCUUAAAUACUUGAUUAUAUUUUAUCCAUGCUGUGAGACCAACUUUAGGAGAACACACACUGAGCCUGUUUAAAGACUGGAAGCCCCAUUUAUGAGGAAUUAAACUCCGGAAUUAUUUUAAUAUGCCCAAUUUUCAGUUCCCCUCAUAGGAAACUCACGUUUGGAGCAAAGCCCCUCUGGGAACCAAACAGCUCCUCUGAGAGCCUCUCCCACUCUGUGAUCUCCCUGCUCCUAGGAGUUAAAAUUGGCUGCAGAGCUGGGAGAGGAGAAACCUUGCUGGGCUGGGAGAGGUCAUUCCUCUGCAGAGGAAGGGGAAGGCAUCUCCAUCGCCCACACAGGCAGUGUGCUGUUUAUCCUGCAUCCCAGGCUACUUCCACUUCUCCCCAGUAUUCCAGACUGGUGUUUAUAACCAGCCCUGAGAGGCUGGGAAAGCCAGGAAGAGGAAGAUUCCAGGGAUGAGUGAAAUGCUGGGUGGCAGUUCUGAGCUUGGCAGUGGUUUUCUGGCUUGUGAAGCAGGUGUGAGACCAUUGGCACCAAUUCCUUGCAGCUCCUCAGGUCCUCGAUGUUUCCGUGGCACCAAAAUCCACGUGGAUGUGGAGAGGAUUAAAAGAUGCUCAGCCCCAUGCAAAGGGCAGGAAUUGGUGAAUCGACUGCACACCCAUUGCUGUGCUGUUGUUUUUACUGUGUGUUUUUAUUUUAUGUUUUUACUGUAUGUUUUUAUUGUACCAUGACUUCUCCCCUCUCUAUAAACAGAUGACGUGCAGAAGCCGUGUGUGGUUACUCAUCCAGCCUGCUGGCAAUAAGACCCUUUUUCUUGGUAUUUAUCCCCUGUUACAGCACUGGCCUGAUCCCAAUUAAUUCCAAAUUGCCCCUCAGAACUGCUCACCGGGUUCUGAGCUCAUUGGAGUUAGUGUCACUUUUGUGCAGAGCAUGUUAAGUUUACUAAUUUCACUCCCUCGAGCGGAACCAAAAUCAAGCUCAAUGUGGCUUUUAAAGGCUGCAGCUGCACUUGGUCCCACUCCACUCCACCAAAACAGAAAUAAGAUCAAAUGUCAAAGCAAAGCUUCGCAAAGAAACAAAUUCCCAUUGCUUAGGAAAAGCUGGUUCUCCAAAAAAACGUGUCUGUGAUAAAAAUAUACGUCGUGCAUUAAACUGAGACUUGCUUUUUUUCACCACUAAAAAACUGCUCUUGUGCAGAAAGGGCUGGGACAGGGAGAGGUCCCACAUGUGUGAGUAGGAAAGGAAUAAAAGCCCUGUUUGCAGGUCCAAAAAGGCAUUUUGGGGGCUGGAAUAGGAGCUGAGAGGUGACAAAACUGGGGGUCACAGCUGGGAGACCAGCUUAGGAGAAAGGGAAAGAGAAGAGCUCAAGACAGAGGUUAAAAGUGGUGAUGAAGCAUAAAUAUCCAUUUUUGGGGGGUGAAACCUUUCCAUGGGCUGGGCUGUGGGGACACCAGGGAUGCAGGGUCCCUCCCUGUGGGAAGGGCUUGAUGGAGACCCAUCAAACAGUUCCUGGAGGCAGCAUCAACCUCCCACCCCACCCCGAGCCCAAAUCCCCACACGGCGGGUGCAGGGGGGAUCUGAGGGCUCUGCUGGGCUCAUUUCCCUCCCCUGCAGCCUCCUGUGGGUGGUGUCAGUGCCAGCCUGGAAUGGAACCUCCUGGCCAGGUGACCCCUUCUGUACCUGGCACCUGUCCCUGAUGCUCACAGGAGUGGCACUGCAGGGCCAGGGGUGGACAUUGAACCCUCUCAGCACUCACCCAGUCCUGGGAAUUAUGGUGGGGACUGAGCUGUGACACCUUCACAACCUUUUGAAAGUGUUUCUUCAUUUUCUACUGCAGUGCCAGAACUUUAAAUAAUGGACUCAAUAGAUAUUCAAACAGCAGCUGCCAGAAAUAGAAAGCUAAUAAGGGAUUUUAUUAAAAUAAAGUCUAUUCUGCAAAUCUGAUUUUAAAAAAGAAAAUCUAUUUUUUAAUUCUCUUUUUUCCACAUUGAGAAGCUCCAGCUCAGCUAUCCAGGGAUCUGCCUAUGAGCAUAAAUUUUUUGGGGAAGCUAAAUAACAAUUCUCACCUUUUGGAGAUUUUCUGUCCUUCCCCACGUGAGAGUUCUUUGCCUUGGGCUGAAAUGAGCAACCCUGGUCCAAACAUCAAGGAAUUGAUGCCAACCUUCCUCUGCAAAAACUGAACCAAAACUCACCUGAAAACCCCACAUUUCCAAUAUCCAGGUGCUCAUUUAAGAGCAAGCUUUGCUUUUGAGACGGGGUGGGUUGAAAUGAAGGGGAAGAGAAGGAGGAACAAUCAUUUGGGGAAAGAUUUCAUCAGUUUCAAGGAACAGGCAAUUUCCCAGGAGCCUUUUUGUAGCCUCUCCCAUCUUUUUGUGGCCCGUCAUGUCAGCAGCAGGCCCCACUCCUCCAUCCUCCAGCACAAGCCAAGGGGUGUUUCACAUCACACCAGCCACAAUCCUGAACAAAAAUACCUUUAUUGGAUAUAGGUUCGGUUUCAUAAUGAAAACUGAGAAUAUAAUUUUUUUCCCCCAAAAGGGCAUUUAUCCACGAAUAUACAAAGAGCCUCUAUUUAUGGCAAACAAAAAUACAAAAUAUUCCUGAUUUCCUGCAAUGUGUCAGGAUUCUCCCUUCUUUUCAAAAAUAAAA